GACGAACGCUGGCGGCAUGCUUAACACAUGCAAGUCGAACGAGAAUCUAUGGAUCGAGGAUUCGUCCAAGUGAAGUAGAGGACAGUGGCGGACGGGUGAGUAACGCGUGAGGAACCUGCCUUUCAGAGGGGGACAACAGUUGGAAACGACUGCUAAUACCGCAUAAUGUUAUCGGAUGGCAUCAUCUGAUAACCAAAGCUUUAUGUGCUGAAAGAUGGCCUCGCGUCUGAUUAGCUAGUUGGUGGGGUAACGGCCCACCAAGGCGACGAUCAGUAGCCGGUCUGAGAGGAUGAACGGCCACAUUGGGACUGAGAUACGGCCCAGACUCCUACGGGAGGCAGCAGUGGGGAAUAUUGGGCAAUGGGGGAAACCCUGACCCAGCAACGCCGCGUGAAGGAAGAAGGCCUUCGGGUUGUAAACUUCUUUUACCAGGGACGAAGAACGUGACGGUACCUGGAGAAAAAGCAACGGCUAACUACGUG
rnacentral:rRNA from 1 species